CAUCAGCAUGGGUUUUCAUGUUAUUGGUCGGUCUCCUCUGCUGUUGUCUCAACACACAACGUCAACGCCGACACGGCGGUGAAAGCAGCAGCAACGGCAGCUGUUCUUGUGAUGGUGGAUACCUCGGUGUUUGAUGGCAAUGCUACUGCUGCUGGUUUCCCUAUCUUAAUGAACAAUGUCUGGUUUAUAUACAACUUGUGUCAAUUUUUGGUGAUAAAAUGUUUUCAAAUGGUAUGGUUUAUAGAGUUUUCAUGUAAAUUAUGAAUUCAAUCAAUCUAGAAUUUGUUGAUAUACGGUAUCAAUGGAGGUCAAGAUGGAGGGGACGGUAUUCUGGUACAAAAAAUAGACAAGAAACACCCUCAAAUGAAGUGUCAGAUGUUACUUAAAUUAUAGGUAUUAGGGUCGAAGCCCGGGUCAAAUUCUUAUAUAUAUUUUUAUACCUAUAUAACAGAAUUCUUUUUUGUAAAUUUCAUUUUUCUGUUGUACUUCUCAUGAAUUUCUUUGUUAUGAACUGUUUUCUGC
rnacentral:lncRNA from 1 species